GAUUAUCACAAUAACUGGAGUACCAUGCAAACAAUUAAGCAGCAAACCAAUGUAAAUUAAGAUUAAUGUGAGGUUAUGCCAGUCCAAGCAUGACCACAAGCGCAGAUGCAUUGGCAUCACCGGACUGCAUGCUUGGUGAGUUGGCCCAAUAAAAUUAUAGAUCAUGAUAUCUUUUCUUAAGCUACUGGGCAAUCAGAAAUUAUGAGUCGGUCCAUUUUGCUCCAAACAAAUGUAAGUGGAGC
rnacentral:lncRNA from 1 species